AUGCUGUCAAAUUGUCGAUUAUCCAGAGAAAAUUCAUUGUAUCGUUGGGUCGGAGCGGAGGUUUGGUCCAGAAAAAUUAGGAACGCGAGAGCAAUAGAGGUUGGGAUACAUCUAUCUCUUCUGAGCAACCUCUUUUGGAUUCUUAAGACCACCCUUGCAGUAGGAUACCAUCUGCUUUGGGUUCUUUAUUAUCUCCUUCGAGGGAUUUUUAGGAUCGUUCAGGCUAUAUAUAUUUAG
rnacentral:rRNA from 1 species